UUAAUUGAAACCUUUAGGUAAAUUAUUGUUAAUAAUUUUUUUUGAAUAAAUUUAUUCCAAUUAAU
rnacentral:tRNA from 1 species